rnacentral:rRNA from 1 species
CGGUUAAAAAGCUCGUAGUUGGGUUUCUGUUGAGGGCAGCCGGUCCGCCUCCUGGGCGUGUAUCUGUUUGACCUCGGCAUCCUCUCAAAAAACGUUUCUGCGCUUGAUUGCGUGGAGCGGAGUUUGAGACUUUUACUUUGAGGAAAUUAGAGUGUUCACGGCAGGCAGUCGCCUUGAAUAUAUUAGCAUGGAAUAAUAAUAUAGGAUCUUGGUUCUAUUUUGUUGGUUUCUAGAGCUAAGAUAAUGAUUAAUAGGGACAAUUGGGGGCAUUCGUAUUAACGCGUCAGAGGUGGAAUUCUUAGAUUGCGUUACGACGAACUACUGCGAAAGCAUUUGCCAAGGAUGUUUUCAUUGAUCUAGAACGAAAGUAAGGGGAUCGAAGACGAUUAGAUACCGUCGUAGUCUUUACCAUAAACUAUGCCAACUAGAGAUGGGAUAAAGUUCUUCACUGACUUAUUCCGCACCUUAUGAGAAAUCAAAGUUUUUGGGUUCCGGGGGGAGUAUGGUCGCAAGGCUGAAACUU